rnacentral:rRNA from 1 species
UACGUAGGGUCCGAGCGUUGUCCGGAAUUAUUGGGCGUAAAGAGCUCGUAGGCGGUUUGUCGCGUCUGCUGUGAAAUCCCGAGGCUCAACCUCGGGCCUGCAGUGGGUACGGGCAGACUGGAGUGCGGUAGGGGAGAGUGGAAUUCCUGGUGUAGCGGUGAAAUGCGCAGAUAUCAGGAAGAACACCCGUGGCGAAAGCGGCUCUCUGGAACGGUACUGACGCUGAGACGCGAAAGCGUGGGGAGCGAACAGG